UGGGGCCUGCGGGGAGACGGUAGGAAAGGCGCGAGUGGUGCCUGGCUGGUUGGAGCUUCAUCUUUGGGGUUGUGUGUGUAAAAGCAUUUAAAAUUUUCUUGAGUGGGCACAGAAAAAAGUUCUCAAGCCAGCGUCUUAAAGGGAAAAAUAGGAUGAAGGGGAACCGACGCGGCCUGGUGUCGCCAGGACGUCUGCCUCAAGCGCCACGAAGAAGCCGGAAAGAGCUUGCCAGGCUUGCCUCUGCUCCCCGCUGGCUGCCACAGCCAGGCCCCGGAGCCCUGCGGUUCCUUUCCGCGAGGCGGAUUUCCCGGCGCCGCCUCUGAGGCGGCGGGCCGCGAAGCGUUGCCCUGGCGGUAGCCCUGGGGACCCGGGGCUGCUUGGCGCUCCGCACGGUUACGUUGACUCAGUCACCCCAGACUGUGAAAGUAAGGUGCAGAUGCCGCACGAAAGCACUGUGUUUAGGGAUAAGUUUUAGGGGACCCAGACUGUUUAGGUAGCGCCAGUGAUUACAUUAUUAUCAUGCUUUUCACUUUUAGUGCUAGAAUAGUUAAAAUGAGAAGUGAUUUUUAGUCUGAGGGACAGGUGGUUCCCGAUAGGUUAUUAAAACAUCUGAGUCUUAACUGAGUUAAUUUUAGGGAUUGAACAGUGCUUUUAGAAGACCAUGGUCACUGGCAUGUAUAGAUCAACUCUUUACAGCAGGCUCCUUUUGUGGAAACCACUUGUAUAGGUAAAAGAGCUGCUAUAGUCUUCAAUCUAAUGACCGUGCCAGUUUUAAAGAUCAGCCACAGCUGAGAGAGAGAGGCCAGAUACCUAGGAAUAAACUGAAGGAAGAAUGUACAACAUCUCUACACUGAAAACUACAGG